GGGGCCUUAGCUCAGCUGGGAGAGCGCAACACUGGCAGUGUUGAGGUCAGCGGUUCGAGCCCGCUAGGCUCCA
rnacentral:tRNA from 1 species